rnacentral:rRNA from 1 species
GUCCACGGCCAUGCUACCCCGAACAAGCCUGAUCCCAUCUGAUCUCUGAAGCUAAGGAGGGUCGGGCCUGGUUAGUACCUGAAUAGGAGACCACCUAGGAAGACCAAGUGCUAUAGGUG